rnacentral:rRNA from 1 species
ACACGUGGGCAACCUGCCUGUAAGUUGGGGAUAACUCCGGGAAACCGGGGCUAAUACCGAAUGAUAAAGUGUGGCGCAUGCCACGCUUUUGAAAGAUGGUUUCGGCUAUCGCUUACAGAUGGGCCCGCGGUGCAUUAGCUAGUUGGUAGGGUAAUGGCCUACCAAGGCAACGAUGCAUAGCCGACCUGAGAGGGUGAUCGGCCACACUGGGACUGAGACACGGCCCAGACUCCUACGGGAGGCAGCAGUAGGGAAUCUUCCGCAAUGGACGAAAGUCUGACGGAGCAACGCCGCGUGUAUGAAGAAGGUUUUCGGAUCGUAAAGUACUGUUGUUAGAGAAGAACAAGGAUAAGAGUAACUGCUUGUCCCUUGACGGUAUCUAACCAGAAAGCCACGGCUAACUACGUGCCAGCAGCCGCGGUAAUACGUANGUGGCAAGCGUUGUCCGGAUUUAUUGGGUGUAAAGCGCGCGCAGGCGGUCUUUUAAGUCUGAUGUGAAAGCCCCCGGCUUAACCGGGGAGGGUCAUUGGAAACUGGAAGACUGGAGUG